rnacentral:rRNA from 1 species
UAAGGAAUAUUGGUCAAUGGACGAAAGUCUGAACCAGCCAUGCCGCGUGGAGGAUUAAGGCCCUCUGGGUUGUAAACUCCUUUUAUUUGGGAAGAAAUCCAUAUAUUUUUAUGUGGUUGACGGUACCAGAAGAAUAAGCACCGGCUAACUCCGUGCCAGCAGCCGCGGUAAUACGGAGGGUGCAAGCGUUAUCCGGAUUCACUGGGUUUAAAGGGUGCGUAGGUGGGUAAGUAAGUCCGUGGUGAAAUCUCUGAGCUUAACUCAGAAACUGCCAUGGAUACUAUUUGUCUUGAAUAUUGUGGAGGUGAGCGGAAUAUGUCAUGUAGCGGUGAAAUGCUUAGAGAUGACAUAGAACACCAAUUGCGAAGGCAGCUCACUACACAGUAAUUGACGCUGAGGCACGAAAGCGUGGGGAUCAAACAGGAUUAGAUACCCCUGUAGU